rnacentral:rRNA from 1 species
AGUGAACGCUGGCGGUAGGCCUAACACAUGCAAGUCGAACGGCAGCACAGUAAGAGCUUGCUCUUACGGGUGGCGAGUGGCGGACGGGUGAGGAAUACAUCGGAAUCUACUUUUUCGUGGGGGAUAACGUAGGGAAACUUACGCUAAUACCGCAUACGACCUACGGGUGAAAGCAGGGGAUCUUCGGACCUUGCGCGAUUGAAUGAGCCGAUGUCGGAUUAGCUAGUUGGCGGGGUAAAGGCCCACCAAGGCGACGAUCCGUAGCUGGUCUGAGAGGAUGAUCAGCCACACUGGAACUGAGACACGGUCCAGACUCCUACGGGAGGCAGCAGUGGGGAAUAUUGGACAAUGGGCGCAAGCCUGAUCCAGCCAUACCGCGUGGGCGAAGAAGGCCUUCGGGUUGUAAAGCCCUUUUGUUGGGAAAGAAAAGCAGCAGGUUAAUACCCCGCUGUUCUGACGGUAACCAAAGAAUAAGCACCGGCUAACUUCGUG